rnacentral:lncRNA from 1 species
GUAGAUAUAAGCAUAACAAGGGACUUAUACAUAACAUCAAUACUAGUAGCAAAAUAUGUAGACACAUAAUAAAAUAUAUACCUAGGGAAAAAUAGUAUUAUAGCAUGGCGAUGGCAAACUAGGGCAAAAGCUGUAAUCACUAUAAUUGAGGUCUCUACCUUAGGUAUCUAAAAAAAGCAUUGCACUAACCACGUCUUCUACCAAACCAACCAACUCCUCAUCUAACACCAUAAGCUCUAUGAGACCUACCUUUAGAACCACCACCACUACUCUAUGUACCACCUCAAAGUACUAUCACUAGAUUCAGAUAAUGUUGAAACUGAGAUACAUAUUGGGAAAAAAUCCCACGCUGGGGAUAAUUCAUUGCUAAGUGACCAUGCUCAUCAGACAAAAAAAGCCUAUACUAGAAGAAUAACACUAGGAGAUCUCAAAAGAACCAUAAUUACCUUCACAAGUUGAUGAACCAAAUUAUGAACGUCAGCCUACAUGGAUUGAUCUCUGACCACUUAAAGUCUCAAAAACUAAAAAUCCAUAUUUUGAACUCUGCAAAGCUGCCUGAACCUACUGGUAUGAUAAUUACG